rnacentral:rRNA from 1 species
UACGUAGGGUGCAAGCGUUGUCCGGAAUUAUUGGGCGUAAAGAGCUCGUAGGCGGUUUUGUCGCGUCUGCUGUGAAAUCUGGGGGCUCAACCCCCCAGCCUGCAGUGGGGUACGGGCAGACUAGAGUGCGGUAGGGGGAGAUUUGGAAUUCCUGGUGUAGCGGUGGAAUGCGCAGAUAUCAGGAGGAACACCGAUGGCGAAGGCAGGUCUCUGGGCAUUUAACUGACGUGAGGGAGCGAAAAAGCUAGGGGGGAGAAAACGGGGAUU